AUGCAAAGCCAUCUCUGGUACUGCGAGAGGGAGGGCUCCUCACCGGCGCAGCUGGGGCCCAGAAGGCACAUGACUAAGAAGGCGCUGUCUUCUGCGCCCCACAGAAAGAGCUCUCUGCGAGGCCCAAGACCAGCUUUCUCAUCAACAGCUGAGGAGGCAGUGGCGGCGACGAAGGCAAUGAUGAAGCUGGCUUCUCGGUUUCAGCUGAGCUCUGGUUUUUCCGUCCCUCUCGGAGCCGCAAGAACACGGCGUGGUUGGGCAGCCAGCACCUGCCUUCCUGGUCAGCCUCUUCUCCCUUCCCACCAUCUCUGCCCCCAUCUCAACAAGGCCAGUCCGACAAAUUCUGCUUUGGAAAAUCGAAAGGAAAGAAGACACUACACUGACUACAAUGGAAUAGAAAUUCCAGGAACUAAAGAUGUAUUGAGAAGAGAGAAAGCUAUGUCCUGCAAACCAAUUCAAUGUCUGAGCGAUAAUAAUGCCCUUCUCAAAUGACAUGUAAUGAAAACUAUAUGUAUAUUGUAUUUGUGUUUAUAUGUAGUAUAUGUACAUAUAUAAGUAUGUUCAUUCCCCAUCUGAUAACUAUUUCUGUCUUGCAGGUUGUUUAAUUUUUGUUUCUUAUAUUUCAAUCUAUCUAAAAAUUUACAUGGUUGUAGCUUUAUAAUACACAGAUAUAUCUGGCAGUGUCUCAGGUCCCUCAGAAACUGAAUCUUUGGGCAGGCUGUUAGUUCCAGAGGUCCAGUGAGGGAGGCACUCAAUCAGUGUAGACCAGGGUUUUUCAACCUUGACACAAUCGCUAUUUUGUUAAUUUUCUUUUGUAGGAGUUUGUCCUGUUUGUCCGUAUCCCUGGCCUCUACCUGCCAGAUGUCAGUAGCUUCCCCAAGCUAAGAUGACCAAAAAUGGCCACCAGACAUCACAAAAUUGCCCCCAGUGAAAAGCUGGUUGUUUAAACAUGUUUCCUUAUUUCCUGCCCUCAAUGCUGUACAAAGCUGUGAUACUUGGUACCAUAGCAGGCAUCUUGCAGGCAUGAGGGAAUGAUAUUACAGAGGCACUGAGGCUAGUACAUGAGGUAGAAGGGGCCAUGGUUUUUGAUGACAUUGCCAAAGUACUACACCAACCCUAGCAUUACCUCCCUAUGGGAAAUCAAUAGCUGCCACCACUUAAGCCUCUUUGGCCCUGUGUUUUGUCAUUUACAGCCAAGACCAUCCUAGUGAAUCCAGUGAUCACCUUACUCCUCUGCUUAAAACCCUUUGCUAGUUCUCCAUUCAGGAUGAAUUCUAGACUCCUGAGCUUAGCACCCGAGGGCCUUUGUCUCUCCCUCCUGCUCAUCUCUCACCACCCUCUUAGCACAUAUCUUCCCCUCUUGAGCUUUAAGUAGAGUCCUCUGACCCAGCCUGGAGACUUCCUGUCCCCUGUGUUUACACUUGCUGGUCCCCGAGUGGCACAUCCUUCCUCCUCUCCUCUCUCCCUUCACUCCUACUCCUACCUUUCAAGACUUAGCCCAUGUACUCUCCUUCAGGAACUUGUCCCCAAAUCUCCAUGUGGUGGUUUUGAAACAUGGACUCCAAAUUAUUAAUAUUUGACACUCGUCUACUUGAGAGUGGCUGGGCAGGGAUUUGGACCUCAGUGACUUUUUAUAUUCUGGAUGCUGAAGUAGGGUGCUAACUGACUGAUUCAGGGAAGUGUUAUUCAGUGAUACACAAGACAACCUUCGUGAUAAGGACGUGCAGUGCGUGAGAUGAGCUAGUCAGACCUGCAGGCGUCGGGCAACCCAAAUCAACCCAAGCCUCUGAUGCUGCUCAUCUUUCCAGCCUCAAACCCUAGCAG
rnacentral:lncRNA from 1 species